rnacentral:misc_RNA from 1 species
GAUGAAGAACGCAGCGAAAUGCGAUAAGUAAUGUGAAUUGCAGAAUUCAGUGAAUCAUCGAAUCUUUGAACGCACAUUGCGCUCGUCAGUAUUCUGGCGGGCAUGCCUGUUCGAGCGUCAUUACGCCCCUCAAGUCCCCUGUGGACUUGGUGUUGGGGAUCGGCGAGGCUGGUUUUCCAGCACAGCCGUCCCUUAAAUUAAUUGGCGGUCUCGCCGUGGCCCUCCUCUGCGCAGUAGUAAAACACUCGCAACAGGAGCCCGGCGCGGUCCACUGCCGUAAAACCCCCCAACUUUUUAUAGUUGACCUCGAAUCAGGUAGGACUACCCGCUGAACUUAAGCAUAUCAAUAAGCGGAGGA